rnacentral:rRNA from 1 species
UACGGAGGGUGCAAGCGUUGUUCGGAAUCACUGGGCGUAAAGCGCGUGUAGGCGGCCUCGUAAGUCUGGUGUGAAAGCCCGGGGCUUACCCCCGGAAGUGCACUGGAAACUGCAAGGCUUGAGUACCGGAGAGGAGGGUGGAAUUCCUGGUGUAGCGGUGAAAUGCGUAGAUAUCAGGAGGAACACCGGUGGCGAAGGCGGCCCUUUGGACGGAUACUGACGCUGAGACGCGAAAGCGUGGGGAGCAAACAGG